AUGAUCAAGUGGAGUACAACCUCUAGCACAGGCACCGUACCCAUGGCGCUAUCUCGCGCCGGACAGCUGCGACGAGGACAUGUACGACGGCCACCCGCUCAUCGUCGUCAUCGUCGUCUCCGACCGGGUGCGAUCGCCCACCAUCGCAUCCUUCAUCACGUUGCCCUCGGAGGGCCCGGCGAACCCCCGGCCGUACAGCCGGAGGAACCCGAGCGCCUGCGCGCGCGGCUCGCCCAGCUCCAUGGUGCCCUCCAGCAUGCCGGCCACCACCGCCAUGCUCGGCCGCGUGUGCGGGUCCUCGUGCAGGCAGCACAGCGCCACCUUCACCAUCCUCUCCACCUCCUUGCCCACCACCCGCCCCUCCAGCCGCGGGUCGGCCAGCUCCGCGUACCGCCCGCCCUCGUGCCCCUCCAGCGCCACCAGCGGGAAGUAGUCGUUCCUCCCGCUGCGCGACGAGCUUCCCGCCGUGCCGUUCGAGGAGUUGGAGUCCUCGCCGCCGCCGUCGCUCACGUGCUCGCUGCGGUUCUUGCGGCCGUGCACCAGCUCCAGGAGCACCAUGCCGAAGCCGUACACGUCCGUGCGGUCCGUGAUGGCCGUGUUGGUCAGCCACUCCGGCGCCAGGUACCCGCGCGUGCCCCGCAUCGUCGUGAACAGCCCGGACUGCUCCGGCGUCAGGAACUUGGCGAGCCCGAAGUCGGCGAUCUUCACCUGCCCGCCGUCGGCGAGCAGGAUGUUCUCCGGCUUCACGUCGCAGUGGAUGAUCCUCUGGUUGCAGCCGAAGUGGAGGUAGGCGAGCCCCCUCGCGGCGCCGAUGGCGAUGUCCACCCGCUCCUUCCACUCGAGCAGAGGCCCCGCCGGCCGGAACAGGGGCCGGUCGAGGGAGCCGCGGUUCAUGUACUCGUACACCAGCAGGCGGCGGUGGCCCUCGGUGCAGAACCCCCGGAGGCGGACCAGGUUGACGUGGUGGAUGUUGCCGAUGACGGCGAUCUCCGUCAUGAACUCGCGCUUCCCCUGCGUUCCCACGCCUUCGAUCUUCUUCACGGCCACCAGCGAGCCGUCCGAGAGCUCGCCCUUGUACACGGCCCCGAACCCGCCGGCGCCAAUCUUGGUGCGGUAGCUGUUGGUCAUGGCCUCGAUCUCGUCGUGCGUGAACCUGGUGGGGAGGCCGGGGAUGACGAUGUCGUCAUCGCCGUCGUCGUCGUUGUCCAGAUCGCGCACAAGGUGCGCCGAGGCUGA
rnacentral:rRNA from 1 species